CAGUAGGGAAUCUUCCACAAUGGGCGAAAGCCUGAUGGAGCAACGCCGCGUGUGUGAUGAAGGGUUUCGGCUCGUAAAACACUGUUGUAAGAGAAGAAUGACAUUGAGAGUAACUGUUCAAUGUGUGACGGUAUCUUACCAGAAAGGAACGGCUAAAUACGUGCCAG
rnacentral:rRNA from 1 species